rnacentral:tRNA from 1 species
GGCAGCGUGGCUCAGUGGAAAGAGCAUAGGCUUCAGAGAUCAUGGGUUCGAAUCCCAGCUCUGCCA